CCAUGUGAUCUUUCAUAUGCUCUUGUCUGGCCAUGGCUAAAUUCUAAUGGUCCUCCUUAAUUGAUCAUUGUAGUUGCCGACUGUUUGUUAAAUAUCCUUUCAUCUAUAUAUAUUAUUGACUGCAAAAGCAUUUAGCACCAACAAAAAAUAAUUCACAUCCCAAGGCAUUUGAAAUUCAGAAACUUGAGUCUUCUAUAUACAACUGUUUCUUUUUUAGAUCAAUAUCUUCUUUUCAACACAUACAUACAACAAUGGGUUUCCGUUUACCUAGUAUCAUCAAAAGGACAUCAUCUUCAAAAACCGUGGACGUUCCAAAGGGAUAUCUAGCAGUGUAUGUUGGUGAGAAAAUGAAGCGGUUUGUGAUUCCUGUAUCAUACUUGAACCAAACCUCAUUCCAAGAACUGCUGAGCCAAAGUGAGGAACAAUUUGAAUAUGAUCAUCCAAUGGGUGGUCUAACUAUUCCUUGCAGAGAAGACAUUUUCUUGGAUAUUACCUCUCACUUAAAUUGAAUUAGCUCUUUGAAGAUAUCAUAGGACUGACGUAGAUAUUUUACUCAUUUUUUUGUAGAUGUUGUUAUCAUACUUGUUGUAAAAAUGUUCAUCUCAAUGAGAAAUUUAUUUGCAUUAUUUUCUCUAUAUUUCUCGAUAUAUAAAUCUGUAAAUCAAAACAUCUUUAAACGAUAUAUUGGAAGAUUCAGUUAUUUAAAUAUAAAACCAACCCCCCCUUUUACAAAAAGAAAAUUAAAGUUAAAAGUAACUAUCAUGAUUUAACAAUUAUUGGAUAAUUAUUUAUAUAACCAAAAAAAAUGUUGGAUAUUAAUUUAUAUAACAAAAAAAAAAUUGGACAAUAAUAUAUAUAACAAGAAAAAAAAUUAAAAUUAAAGUUAAAAGUAACUCUGCAGAGAAGCCCAUAGUUAUUCGAUAAUAAUUUAUAUAACAAAAAAAAAUUGUUAAACAACAAGUCGCUUUGGCCGAGUGGGUAAGGCGUGUGCCUGCUAAUUACAUGGGGUUUCCCCGCAAGAUUUCGAAUCUCUCAGGUGACGGAUUUUUAUUUUUUUCAUAACAAAAUUGAUAGGAAUUUUUUUUAAUUAUCUAGUCUUCUAUAUGUGGAUUUUAAUAAUGACAUUAAUUUUUCUAGUAUCAGAGAAAUAAAUGUAAUACAUGAACUCGAUCGAAUAAUCUGACAGAGUGAAUAACUUAGUUGCUUCAUGUUAAAAAUAAAUAGAAAAACUUGAAUUUAUUAAAUACAAGUUUCAUCUAUCUCUUGGUAUAUAUUUUUUUCCGUCGGGAAUACAAAUCAAGAAAAUCAAUCCUAUAUAGUAUGUGCGGGAAGAAACUAAAUGAAUCAUAACAGGGGAGAGACAGAGCAUUGUGAUUCAAAGAAAAAUAAUUUAUAUAGUAUGAGAGACAGAGCGUUGUGAUUCAAAGAAACUAAGCGAAUCAUAACAGGGGAGAAACUUACUUUUAUGUGAAUGUGUUGUGAUUUAUGUAGUCUGAAUUGAUGCACUUGGUUCUUGAAGUUCAGGCUUCCAACUGCUUCUAUUUGACUACCUCUAUUAACAUUGAUGUGAUAAUUAAGUUUUAUAGGCUUUGAGUUUCUUAUAUAUUAUGUUAGUGUUUCUUUUGCUACUUCAUUUUUGAUGUUCAAAUUAACAAUACAAAUGUACAAUUGAGUCAAAACUACUAUUGUAUAGAUCUAACCGAGUUCAUUUGCUAUUUUUCUGUUUCGGAAUGUGUGGAAAAAAACUAGUAGUGAAAAACUUUCAUAAGUCCUACCAGCCAGUCAGUUUGAAUCUACUUCUAAUUACUGAAAGGAUUUGGAAUUUUUCUAAAGUUUAAAGGUGUCUACCAAUAAACUGUCUGACGGAGCUUCGAGAAAAAAUUGAAGUCUAGGUGCUAAUUUCUAUUUAGGCGAUAAGAUUAGUUAAAAUAAUCAUGUUCAACUUUAAGUUUUUGAGUAUUUGUAAAAAAUUUAACCAAACAAGCUCUUAUUAUAGAAUAAAUAGGCGCAAAGCCGAUUUCGGAGGACAGGCCAAGCCAUGUUUAUUUAGCUAAAUCAUCAAUAGUUAUUGAUUUAGUCCAAGAAUUUUAGCUAGCUGGCUGGAAUUAGCAAAACUGGUUUAGUUAAUCUGGAUUCUAACAGUGACAUUAAUUUUUCUAGCAUAGGAGAAAUAAAAGUAACGGAUCAUAUCAUUUGAAAAGACAUAAACAUAAAAGAAUAAACUAUAGCUUGUGAUAGGCAUUAAUUUUUAAAUAAGCAUGAAAAGUGAAGUUAUAACUGAUAAAAUAACUGAGCUCACUGUCAAUAAAUAAGGAAAAAGAGGACAGUAUAUUUUUGAAUUUGAUAUUCAGAUGGUAAUAUUUCUCCAUUUCUCAUGAAAAGUGUCAUAAAUUUACAACUUCACAAGUCGAAUAAAUGCCUAUUUGAAAAAUGUCUCAGCUAAUCUAGCGUAUAUCAGUAUGUUACAGUGUAAGAAUCAUAGCCCAUUCAAGCAAGAAGUUAUAUGUUGGAACACAUCUUCGGAGCAAGGAAUGGUGAGGCCACCCAUGGGAUGAUCAUAUCCAAAUUCUUCUUCCGCUUGAUGUAGCAAUUCUUGAAACAAUGGUUGGUUCAAGUAUGAUAUUGGGACAACAAACCGCUUCUGUUUCUCUCCAACAUACACUGCAACAUAGCCCUUUGGAACUUCUGCUGAUUUUAGAGCUGCUUGGCUAGCUGUGAAUGAUGCCCGUCGAAUAACAUUUAAACGGAAACCCAUUUUUGGUGAUUGUUUGAGAGAGAAGAACAAACUCAACAAAGUAAAUAUCUCAAAAAAUUUAGAAGAAUGUAACUAAUACUUGAGGAUGUCAACGACUUGUGUUGUGUUUGAAGCCAAUUUGUAAGUAUAUUUAUAGUUACUGAGAUUCUUUGCAAACCUAAUUCCAAGCUAAAUUAUUUCUUGAAAGAGUUAAAGGAUAAGAUGAUAUACCAUGUGGUGUUGUCUAAACAUUGUACCACCACCCUUUCAAGUUCAACCUCAUAUUUUAUCAUCUAUUAACUAUCACUUCAUAAUUGUGUAAACAUGUUUCAGACAUGUUUUCUUCAUUAUCAUGGUGCUGAUGUCCAGCUAGUAUCGACUAACGAAUAGAUAGACUAAUCUGCAUUAUUUGAAGGGGGUGCAUUAUCUACCAUGAAAUUAAUUUGAUGUUGACCCAUGUGUAAGUCCUCCAAAACAAUACCAUGUGAUCAUUCAUAUGGACUUGUCUCCCAUAGUUCUCAUGACUUGCAUCCAUCUCAUGGCUCUCCUUCAAGUUGCCGACUAUUUGUUACAUAUCCUUUCAUCGUCUAUAUAUACGAUCAUUUAGGACCAAUACAAAACCAUUCACAACCAAAACCAUUUGAAAGUCAGAAACUUGAGCCUUCUGUUUACAAACAAUUCUCCUUUUUAGAAUAAGCUUCUGAUCUUUUCAACACAUACAUACAACAAUGGGUUUUCGUUUACCAAGUAUCAUCAGAUCAAGGGCAUCAUCUUCAAAAGGUUUGGACGUGCCAAAAGGCUAUCUAGCAGUAUACGUAGGAGAGAAAAUGAAGCGUUUUGUGAUUCCUGUAUCAUACUUGAACCAAACAUCAUUCCAAAAGUUGUUGAACCAAGCUGAGGAACAAUUUGAAUAUGAUCAUCCAAUGGGUGGUCUCACCAUUCCUUGCAGAGAAGACAUUUUCUUAGAUAUUAAUUCUCACUUGAAUUGAAUUACCUUUUUGAAGAUAUCAUAGGACUGACGUAGUUAUUUGAUCCAUUUUUUGUAGUAGUUUAGUUUCUCACGUUCAAAAUAUUUAAUCUUUUGUUGUUAUCAUACUUGGUUGUAAAAAUGUUCAUCUCAAUGAGAAAUUUAUUAACAUUAUUUUCUCUAUAUUUCUUCAUAAUAAUGAAAGAUUAAGUUAUUCAAAUAUAAAAUCAAUCCUCCAUUUUGCAAGAAAAAAAAAUAAAGUUAAAAGUAACUAUCAUGAUUAAUGAUCAUAGAUUGUAUAUAUUGCAAAAAAAAAUCUGCAGAGAAGCAUUUAAGUAACAAGUUGCUUUGGCCGAGUGGUUAAGGCGUGUGCCUGCUAAGUACAUGGGGUUUCCCCGUGAGAGUUCGAAUCUCUCAGGCAACGAAUUGUUUUUUUUAAUAACAACCAUUGAGUUAAAAAUAGUUAACUCUACAUUUUUUGUUUCAAAUAAAAAAAUUAUAAUCAAAUUCUUCAAUGACAAAGUUGUUUUUCUUUUGCUUUGAUAUGACUAGUUACAGUUUUGCUCUCAAAAGAGAAAGACUAAUUUCAAUUUUGCUGUAAAAACAAAGUGCAAGUUCCAUUUAUGAACAUGGGACUCUCCACAUCUUUUACCAUCUCCUACUUUUUUUUUCUUUGUAUAAAUCGAGUAUCUCAGCUGUCGAGUCUAAUAUAAUCACAUACAACAAAAAUCUCCUCAAAAUUUUAAUGUUGUUGCGUACACAUAGUUCGAAGUCAAAACCUCAAUAUAGACAAGAAGAAAAUUUUGAUAUCUUAUCUAAGUAAUCAUGGUAUGUCAUCCAAUCACUCUUGAAUUAUAGUCUCGCACUUUACUUUUUCCUAACUCUAAAAGCUGCAGAACAUCCCUAUUUAAUGUGUGCUAGUAACUGAGCCAUUCGACAAGGUUGCCACUGAAACAUGACUCGUGCUACCAGAGAUUGAAUUUUUUCUAUCUAUGAUCCAUCAUUGGAUGAUUUACUCAAUUAUAUCAAUAUUAAUAUAUAAACCUAUCUUUUUGCAUGAAUCUGACACUUUAGAAUUCAUGUUUAAAUUCUUAUGGUAUAAUUAUAUCAAUUUUUUCAUGUUUAAAUUCAUGGAUCAUAGAUAACUUAAUGAAUUUACUUGUAACGAUCCAUCUAUAUAGAUCUUCAUGUUUUUUAUUUACUCCACUUUAAUAUAUAUUGACUUUUCAUUAUAGUAUGACUUUUCAAUGCAAAGUACAAAAAGGCACUACAAAGGAAAAUAACUUUGAAAAGCAUAUGCAAAGGGCAUUAAGAGUUUAUAACAUAUAUUCAUUGAACAUUGGCCUAAAGCCUAAAAAAAGUUACAAUCUUUGUCCAUAUUAAAAAACACAUGACAUGACGGUUAUUGUAUUUAUGCAGCUUGUUUUUGGCAGACUGUUUUGUAUGAAUGUUCCGAGUUGUGAAGUGGUAAAAAUCAAUUUAGAACCACUGAUGUGGACAGAAGGGGCAAAAAUUGUCAUGACCAGCCAGAAAUCCAUUUUGGUUUGUAUCUCUCAAAUACAAAUUAUGUAAAACUUCUUUUCCUUUAAACAUUUUGAUUAGAUUUUAAGGACAGAAAAAAAAAACAUUGGAUUAAAAUGCAUAUAUAAUAAUAAAAAAUAUUAAUUCUACGAUACUACAUAGAGAUUGGUACAGUGAGAAUUAGUUAUCAUGGGUUCGAUCCUCGGCGCUCGAAGUCUCUAACUCUAUAUCCUACCUACAAAAAUCAGUUACCCUUGAAAACCUCACAAAUCAUCAUAUACCAUCUCUCCUAUAUAUAUACUCAAACCAUACCUCUUUUUUCAUAACUCUUUGCCACUCACACUUACUUUACAACCAAAGCUCAAAUUCAAAUCUAAAAACAAAAAACAAAACAAUUCAGAAGAAUGGGUGAUUUACAGAUUCAACAAGAAUCCAUGUUGAUCCCUCACAAACAGAAACAAUCCAUGAUUAUUCCAACAUCAUCAAUGCCUCAUCAUCACACUCACAACAACACUGUCAAACGCCGUUCACCAUCAUCAUCAUCUUAUCACCAACCAUCAUCCAAGAAGCAUUCUUUUGACGCAAGCAAUCUCACCCGUAAUGGCUUCUCUGCCAUUACAAUUCCUUUCAGUCUCCGCGGGAAUGCUCUUAGCCGCUGUGUCUCUGAUCCAUGCACCUUUCCGGAUCAAUCCAUGCCAGUAAAAGGGCCGUCAACUGCUUUGCAGCCUCUGCCUCCGAUCAGCAGAUGUAUAUCUGAAGUUAUCGAUCCUACUGAGGUUAAAGAAGCAGUAGCUCGUUAUUUGAACUGUGCUGAAAAAACCACCCCUGAAUCUGAUUCAAUGGUAUGUGUUGAAACUUGUGUUUCUUGCUAAAAAAGUAAUCUUUUUUUUAAUUUGGAAUAAUGGGUUUUGUUUGUUUUUUGUAGAGGCUUAAAAGGAUGAAGGAUCGGUUAAAAGAAAUGAAGAAAGUGUGGGAUGAAGUUAUGGAAGUCGAGGAAGAAAAUGAAAAAGACCAAGAAGAAGAGCCCUCUCCUGAUGCUGAAGAUGAAAAAGAACAAGAACAAGAACAAGAAGAGCACUCUCUUGACUCUUUUGUUGCUGAAGAUGAAAAAGUCAUAUCUCAGGUACAUAUCUUGAAUCUUUAACGGUGAUUGUGUUUUCUAUUGUAAUCUUCAAUGUAUUUGGUUCUUUAAUUGGUACUUAUAAGUUAUGCUCAUAAAUUUAUAAGUUUUUUCUUGUUUUUAUGUAUAUCGUAGUCACACUUGUUUAAUUACGUAGAAUCCGGGGGUUAUGGGAAGGUAUUGAAUUUGAUCAUAGUUGCAUAUGUGCAGCAAUUUUAACAACUCAAUUAUAUAGGAUCUGGGAUUUAUGGGAAGGUGUUGAAUGUUUCCUUGCUUGUUCACAUAAGUUGUCUUCUGUAGUUAAGAAAUAGUCAUAUAUGUUAAUGCUAGUAAGUAGCAAAGUUGUCCAUCACAUAUCAUGGAAAGUAGUGAUUUGUUCAAAUUCGGAUAUGCUGCUGUAUUAUAGCUGAUAUGUAACCACCUUUUGUUCCACUUAAAGGAUCUGAGGGUUUGGCUAAGAAGCAUAAUAAAUUGUUGAUGUGAUCAUAGUUGCACUUGUAAUCAUUGUUUUAAAUUGCGAUUGCAGUCGCACUUGUGGUCACGAUGUGAACCUUUACAUUGUGGUGAAAUAUGGACGAUGUGACUAAAAUUGUGUUUGUGAUGCCCUUGUAUAGACCUCAAAAUCCUCUAAAAAGCGGCUGCAAUUGCGAUGUAGUUAUGGAGACAACAAGUUAAAACUAUAUACAUGACUUUAAGAUUAAUAGUUUUUAUGCUGAACAAUUGAUUUUUGUUUUUGUAGGAUGAAUUGGGAAAUGAUUAUGAAGAAGCUGUUAGUGUGGAGUGGGUUGAUAAGUGUUUAAGCCUUACUUUCAAGUGUCCAUGUGGCAAGGGAUAUGAGGUUCUAAUCUGUGCAAACAAUUGUUACUACAAGUUGGUCUAGAAGAAUCAGUAUGCUUAUUUGUGACAUGGAUCACUUUUGUUUAUAUUCUGUUUUAGUUUGGAAAAAGCUUGUCUGUUUUCAUUUGUAGUAGCAUUUGAUUGUCACUAGAAGAACCAAUCUAUAUUUGUAGAUCCUUACAUUUGUUUUGUAAAUAAGUUGGUAUGUACUAUCUCAACAUUCUUAGAAUUAGGAACUGACCAGUUCAUCGGCUGGUUUGACUCCGAUUAUCUUGCAGUCUGGUUUAACCGUUAAACUACGGAUGAACCAAGAUAGAUUUGGCCGAUUUUAAUUUAUAAAACUGGAUUAGCAUUUAUGUCAAUAAUGAAAUUCUUAUUCACAGAUUUUGGGUUUGCGACGUUAUUAUUGACACAGCUUACUACCUUAGCAAAUACAAAACCUAAAUUUACAUGUGUCAACAUAAAACCUCCGCAAAACAUGCUAUGAUGAGCUGCUAAGAAACAAGAAAGACAUGCCCUUAGCAACAGAAAAAACAUGCUAUAUUGAAUUGAAUUCAAUUCUUUGCUAAAUGAAUACUUCCUGCAUAUACAGAAGCAAGUAAGUCAGAAAAAAGAGAGACAAGCAAAUAAGUCAGAUCCCAAAAUGCAUUGACGACGUAUCAACUCUCCAUGUGACACGUCGUAAAUAUUCUAAUGUAGCACCUCUAAGAAGACUCAAAUUGUUCUAGGUGAACACAUUUUUGCAUCCAAUAGUAUUCACUAAUAUUCAUGUGUCAUUUGAGUUACGAUAUAAUAUAGACCGUACGAUGAUUUUUCUAACUUGUAAACAAGACCAGUAUCACCCUGACCAAUGAAGCCAGGUGGCUGCUGCAUAUACAUCGCCUCCAAGACUCCAUGAAAUAAGAUAUUUUUAAUGUCAAGUUGACAAAGGUAAAUGUAUGAUGGCAGCCACUGAUAUUCAUGUGCCAUCUGAAUGAGGAAAUAUUCAUUUUGAUAAUCAAAGGCUCCAAUGAAAUAAAUGUUCAGUACAGAAUCUCUAGACGAUCAUUGAAUGAAAAAUUAAUUUCUCUUUUGAAAAGAAACUGUCCAAUGUUAACAUUUCACUACAAAUGCAAUCUAACAACAUUUUAAUUUCAGUCUGUUAAUGCCUAAAAAAGUUAUAAUUGUUUGGGUCAUCUGAUCUGCAUGUUGCUCCAAAUAAUGCUUCAAAGGCAUUAUCCAAGUCGCAUGAAUAGCACACACUUGUUCUUUGAGUCAUAUUAUUUUAGCCUUCGGAUGACUAAGGUUAAGUUCAAGAAUUUUGCAUAGCUACUUAUAAUUAGCAAAACUGAUUUUGUUAGAGAAAUGUUCAGUUACAGUAUUAAAAUAAGAGAUUAUCUUAUUUUAACAGGCAGAAAGAAAUAACUAUAACUUGUUAUUGAUUUUUAUUUUUUAUUUUUAAGAAGCAGAAAAUUAAGAGUGCGUUUGGAAAUUGAGAUUUCCACGGUGGAGUGGCUUGUUGAUGCACAAUGUAGGCCACUAGACAUUAAUGAACUAAUUGAAGUUGAUCAAUAAUAUAUAUAAUCUGUCUCCUUAAGCUUUGUUUGGGAGUUUGGAACUGGAGGGGAAAAUGGUAAAAUCUUUCACAUUUUUUUAAAGAGUAAUUAUUUUAGAAAAUGAUAAAUGAAUGCUUAUGAUUAAUAUAUUUUUAAUUUUAUGAAUAUUAUAAUUACAUUGAUUAAAUUUGAAGAAUACAUGUAAACCCUCCUCAAUACAUUUUUCGAGUUCCCUCAAAUGAGGAGGAUUUUGUAUUAUGAAGAAAAAUGAACCCCCAAAGUCUUUCCCUUUCAAUAUCAUCCAUUUCAUCAACUUCCUCCUCCCUUUUUUUCCAAACCCCUCCCCUCCCUUCCACUCCAAACUCGCAAACAAAGCCUUAAUCUCCAUGAGAUGGUUCUCUACAGUAUACAAAGAAAGAAUAAAAAUUUGAUUCUGUGGAUAAAACUUAAAAAUUAUUUAAAUUCUGUCCUUAAUAAACUUAUGUUUGGUACUUUUCUUUGGAUCUGAAAAAUAACUUUAGCUCUGCACUGACUGUUCAUAUUAUUUUUACUGUGAAAUUUAUGAAGAUAUACUUUUUUCCUUAGGCAAGCAGAUGGCUUUUUUUACGUGAUGUUCAAAUUGCGGAUUGCUGAAAUUGUAAUUGAUAAAGUAACUGAUCUUACCGUCACUACACAAGAACGAAAUAUGAAAGUUGUUUUUCUUUUGAUUCAGAUAACUAUUUUUCUCUGUUUCCAAUGAGAAGGUAUAAUUUUUACAAGUUAAAAAAUUCCUAUGGUACAAAAUUUCUCUACUAAUCUGUCAGUAUGCUAAAGUGUCAGAUUCAUGGCUCAAUUUAAGCAAGAAGUUACGUGUUGAAAGACGCCUUCAGUGCAAGGAAUGGUGAGGCCACCCAUGGGAUGAUCAUAUCCAAAUUCUUCUUCCGCUUGAUGUAGCAAUUCUUGAAACAAUGGUUGGUUCAAGUAUGAUAUUGGGACAACAAACCGCUUCUGUUUCUCUCCAACAUACACUGCAACAUAGCCCUUUGGAACUUCUGCUGAUUUUAGAGCUGCUUGGCUAGCUGUGAAUGAUGCCCGUCGAAUAACAUUUAAACGGAAACCCAUUUUUGGUGAUUGUUUGAGGGAGAAGAACAAACUCAACAAAGUAAAUAUCUCAAAAAAUUUAGAAGAAUGUAACUAAUACUUGAGGAUGUCAACGACUUGUGUUGUGUUUGAAGCCAAUUUGUAAGUAUAUUUAUAGUUACUGAGAUUCUUUGCAAACCUAAUUCCAAGCUAAAUUAUUUCUUGAAAGAGUUAAAGGAUAAGAUGAUAUACCAUGUGGUGUUGUCUAAACAUUAUACCACCACCCUUUCAAAUUCAACCUCAUAUUUUUUCAUCCAUUAACUAUCACUUCAUAAUUGUGUAAACAUGUUUCAGACAUGUUUUCUUCAUUAUUAAAGUGUUGAUGUCCAUCUUGUAUCGACCUAACGAACGGAUAGACUAAUCUGAAUUAUUUCAAGUGGAUUAACAUGCUUUGUUCAAGGUGGUGCAUUAUCUACCAUGAAAUUAAUUUGAUUUUGACCCAUGUGGAAGUCCUCCAAAACAAUAACAUGUGAUCUUUCAUAUGGACUUGUCUCCCAAAGUUUUCAUGCCUCAUCCAUCUCAUGGCUCUCCUUCAAGUUGCCGACUGUUUGUUACAUAUCCUUUCAUUUGUCUAUAUAUACAAGCAUUUAGGACCAACACGAAAUCACUCACAACCAAAAGCAUUUGAAAUUCAGAAAGUUGAGCCUUCUAUUUACAAACAAGUCUUUCAUUUUUAGAUCAAGCUUCUCUUUUCAACACAUACAUACAACAAUGGGUUUCCGUUUACCAAGUAUCAUCAGAUCAAGGGCAUCAUCUUCAAAAGCUGUGGACGUUCCAAAGGGAUAUCUAGCAGUGUACGUAGGAGAGAAAAUGAAGCGGUUUGUGAUCCCUUUAUCAUACUUAAACCAACCAUCGUUUCAAGAAUUGUUGAACCAAGCUGAAGAACAAUUUGAAUAUGAUCAUCCAAUGGGUGGUCUUACUAUUCCUUGCAAAGAAGACAUUUUCUUAGAUAUUACUUCUCACUUGAAUUGAAUUAUUAGUUCUUUGAAGAUAUCAUAGGACUGACGUAGAUAUCUGACCCAUUUUUUGUAGCAGUUUUAUUCUCACCUUCAAAAGAUUUAAUCUUUUGUUGUUAUCAUACUUGGUUGUAAAAAUGUUCAUCUCAAUGAGAAAUUUAUUAACAUUAUUUUCUCUAUAUUUCUCCAUAAAUAUAAAUCUGUAAAUCAAAGCAUCUAUUGGCUAAAUGUCAGUUUAGAAUCUUUAAAUAUAAUGGAAGAUUCAGUUAUUCAAAUAUAAAAUCAAUCCUGCCUUUUGCAAAAAUAAAAAUAAAAAAUUGUUAAAAGUAACUAUCAUGAUUUAAAGAUCAUAGAUUGUAGGGUUAAUAGUAUUUUUCACCCUUGUAAUAUAUGUCAUAUUCGGUUUUCGCCCCUAUAAAAUUUUCGGUUUGAUUUUCACCCUCAUAAAAUUUUUAUUUUCCGGAAAACACCCUUAAUAGGCCAUCCAAAAACCAAAAUUUCUUGAAAAAUUUUUCUGAAAAUGGCCUAUUAGGGGUGUUUUUCGGAAAAUAAAAAUUUUACGAUGGUGCAAAUCAAACCGAAAAAUUUUAUAGGGGCGAAAACUGGAAAUAACAUGUAUUACAGGGGUGAAAAACACCAUUAACCCUAGAUUGUAUAUAUUGCAAAAAAUAACCAGCAAAAAAGCAGAUAAUUAUUGGAUAAGAACUGGUUUAGCAACAAGUCGCUUUGGCCGAGUGGUUAAGGCGUGUGCCUGCUAAGUACAUGGGGUUUCCCCGCGAGAGUUCGAAUCUCUCAGGCGACGAAUUGAAUUUUUUGUUUUUUAAUAACAAAGUUGGUUAAAAAUAGUUAACUCUACAUUUUAAAUCAAAUUCUUUAAUGACAAAACUCAAAAUAGAAAGACUAAUUUCAAUUUAUGAACAUGGGACUAGCUACAUAUUUUACCAUAUCCUAAUUUUUUUUCUGUAUAAAUCAAGCAUCUCACUUGUCGAGUAUAAUAAGGCCCCGUUUGGAUAAACAGCUUAUAUAGAUGUUUAUGGCAUUAGAGCUUACAUCAUAAGCUCUUAUAUUUGAUAAGCUAUUUAUGUUUGGAUAUGUACACUAAAGUACUUAAAUAAAUUGAAGUGUUUGGAUCUGACAUUACAUAAGCAAUUAUCGAAAUUUUAAAUAUUUUUAAUUUAACAAAAAAAUCAAAGAAUCGAACCACAAAAAUGAAAGAUAAUAGUGUAUAGUUUGUUACCAAAAAAAGACAAGUUAAGUUUGUUUUAUUUAUUCAGUUUCUUUUUGUUACGUAACAAAAAAAUAAUAAAAAUUUUCCUUCAAAAAAAAAAUAAUCUUAGUUAUGUGUGUUACUUUGGUAAGAUAAGUAUAUAACAAUUUUGUUACUCAUGCACCGUCAAAGAUAACUAACAUUAUAAUUAAAAUAUAUGUUUGUUUCUAAAAACAAAAACAAAAAAAAAAUUAAAAUAUAUGUUUUGAAAAAGUGGAUCCAGAGAGAAUCGAAGGAGGUUACAUAAAUUCAUAAGCUCUUUGUUAAGCCGGAGGGUAAGCUGAAAAUUUAAGCUUAUUAAAAUAUGGCAUAAGCAGCUUAUGAAACUAUGAUAAGCUAUUUUUAUUUAUUUACCCAAACACCUUUAAAAAGGCUUAUGGGAGUAGAUAAGCCCAGAUAAGCUCAACUUAAGCCAAUCCAAACGGGGCCUAAAUCCACAUAGACGAGGAAACUCUUCCCAAAAUUUUAAAGUUGUUGCGUUCACAUAGUUUGAAGUCAAAACCUCUAAAUAGAAAAGAAGAAACUUUUGCCUUCUUAUCUACGUACUCAUGGUAUGUCAUCCAAUCACUCUUGAAUUACAGUCUCACACUUUACUUUUUCCCAACUCUAAAAGCUGUGGAACAUAUCCCUAUUUAACUCUUGAAUUACAGUCAAAACCGUCAAGGCAUCAACAAGCCCUAUUUAAGGCCACCACUGAAACAAGACUCGUGCAACCAGAGAAUGAAUAUUUUCUAUCUAUGAUUCAUCCUUGGAUGAUUUACUCAAUUAUAUAUAUAUCAAUAUCAAGAUAUAAACAUUGCUGUUCAAUAUCCUAGUAUGAUUUUAUCAAGAUAUAAACAUUGCUAAACAAAGAAAGAUUCGAGUUUCUGGAUUUCAAAUGCUUUGGGAUGUAGAUGAUUUUGUCUUGGUCCUAAAUGCUUUCAGCAAUGAAUAUAUAUACAUGAAAGGAUAAGUAACAAACCAUCGGCAAAUGAAAUUAUCAGUGAAGGAGGGCCAUAAGAUUUGAGUCAUGUUCAGACAAGAGCAUAUGAAAGAUCACAUGGUGUUGUCUCGAAAUGAAUGGAUAUACUUCAAAUGGUGUAGUAGAUAGAUAAUGCAUAAUUCUUGUGCAGAAGCAUCAUAUAAUUGAUAGACUUGAAAGUACAACCACAGACAUGUAGAAUGGCCUAUGAUGAUCCAUAAUUAUACAUUGCCUUAUAAUCACUAACCAGCUGGACAUCGACAUUUUCAUAAUGAAGAAAACAUGUCUAAAGCAUGUUUACAAAAUUACAAAGUACCAAUUAAUGCAUGAAUAAAUAUGAGGUUGCAAUGUUAAGACAACAUCACAUGAUAUCUUAUCCUAUGUUCUCUAAUAUUUUACCCUUUCAAACAAUAACUUUUGCUUGGAAUUGGGUUUCAAUUUCAAGAUAAUCUCAAUAACUAUAAAUAUACUUCCUCAUGUCUUCACAAACAACACAAGUCCUACGCUUUCUCAAGUAUUUAGUUACGGUCUUAAUUAAUUUGAGUCCUUGCAAAAUCAGCAGAAGUAAGAAAGGGCUAUGUUGUAGUGUAUGUUGGAGAGAAACAAAAACGGUUUGUAGUCCCUGUGUCAUACUUAAACAAACCAUCAUUUCAAGAUUUGUUGAAUCAAGCCGAGGAAGAGUUUGGAUAUGAUCAUCCAAUGGGUGGCCUCACCAUUCCUGUCAACGAAGAUGACUUCCAAUACAUAAUUUCUCGCUUUAAUGGGCUGUAAACUUCAUACUGCAAGAGACUGACAUAGUUUAGUAGACUAGAGACAUUUUUGUAAAGUACGUAGGAAUGUUAUCAAAUUGUAAAGACUAGAAAAGAAAUGAACAUUAGAUUCAAAAAUUUGUAGAGUAUAUACUUAUUGUUUAAUGACAAUGAAUUCAACUACUAAAACAUCUGUAUUUUUGGUUUAUUAGUUAAAAUAUUCACUCCUGCCUACACUUAAGGACCUGCGAAAUAUGAGAAAUGUUGCUUGCGAUAUGAAAACACAGAGUUGUAUUCUGAGAAAACUUAAAGCCGGUAAAAACACAUGGCUCCUAGCAACUUGGCAAGGGCAGAGAAAAAGAUAAUUUUCGAUCAAAAGUGAUUAAUAUUUUUUGUUUUGGAUUUGAAGGCUUGAUCACAUGAUGCACCUUCCUUUCCUAGGCAUAUUUACAAAUCAGUGAUUUAAGAUGAAUCAGUAGAACGAGCAAAAUCCUAAUUAUAAUAGAAAUUAAAGGCAUUCUUUCCUACCGUUGAAGUGUGGUUUGUCUAUAUUUCCAUAUUCUUAGAUUUUUUAAUAUACUUACCAAGAUGACAAAUUUUUACAAAUGGUAACUAGCUAGAAGAAAGGAAUGCAAAAUACACAGGGAUAAUAACAUCAUGUUCUACAUCUUUUAAUCAACUUAGCAAGAUGAAAGGAGCUUAAAUUGUGCACACAUGGUCAUGACUAAAUAUCUCAUCAUAUCUUAAACAAAGUCCCUUUCUUGCAAUUAUGCAUAGGUCAGUCUUCUAAACCUCCCUCGUGUUACUUUCUUUCCCCACUUAACUUCCAUCCGCGCGUAAACAUAGACUGUGAUUGUGUUGAAUAUGGCUCAUAGUCACCAAUUGAAUAUAUGUGUAAAAUAAUUGUAUUACUAAAUAAAUACAAUUCAAAUUUACUUCAGUAUCCUUAAACUUUUGAAUGAUUUUGUUUUCAGACAUGUCAAGAAAAUUAUAAAAUUCCUUUGUAAAAUAUGUGCUCAAAAUUUAAUUUUUUGGUUGGAUUUUCUUUACUUUUAUCUUGAACUAUUUGUGCUUUAAGAAAAAUAAUUUUUUUAAUGGCUAUAAAAAUCAUAAUUAAUUCAUUCCAUGUUACAAAACUCUAACGUUUUGUAAAAGAAAUCUCUAUAAUGUAUACAAAAAUUCAUUAAAAAUUUAAGGAUAAUUUUGAACUUAACAAAGAUUAAAAUUGCAUAUUGGAAAUUUGUAUAGGAGCACAUAAACAUGUCACUAAUUUUUACGAAGAUGAAAAACAAAAUUUGUUAUAUUUAUUGAAAUCAAAAACUUAUUUUACCGUUUUCUUUUUUGUUGAUAGAAGCUCUUUUUUUGUUGAUAGAAAGCUCAGUAGUUCAUUUUUUAAAUUUAAGUGUUAAUAUUAUAUUUACCCCUAUAAUAUUAGUGGUUUCUAAUUUAAUCAAUGUAAAAUAAAAUUGUUUAAAUUUCAACCCUAUAAUUUGAAGAUUCUUGAAAAUGAAUCCAAACCCAUCUAACUCAUAAAAUGUUGAUGUGAUCAUAUGACAUUGUGACUGUGUAUAUAAUUAUAGUUUUAUUUUUUUCCUUCAACCUGUAUAUUCACGUGGACAUGCCAUUAUUUAAUUAAAAAAAGGAAAAAAAAAAUAUAAUUAAAAAUUAAAAAUGUUAACGAGUGUCUCGAGACAUGUUUUAAGGCUCUUAAACAGUAACUUUUUAUAAAAAAAAUUAUGCAUUCAAUGCUUUGGAAAAAAACAUAAAAAACCCAAAGAAAACAUAAAAACAGAGGUGGAAAAACUAGACCCCUUCUUCUCUACCGUGUUCCCAGGAAGAUUCUUUCUCCCGGUCCUUCAUCUUUUGCUUCACAUUCUUAACUUAAUCUUCAAAUUUAUCCAACCCAAAAAAAUAAAAAUCCAUAAAAUUACAACAAAUCAGAAGUUAGCAAACAACAUCAAAAUAGAUCCAACAUUAAUUGAAAAGAGAACCACAACAAAACCCAAACUCAAAUUGAGUUGCUGCAAUCACUAAUCUAACACUAAUCAUGAAUCAAUUGAAACCUAAUCAACCUCUUGAUCAAAAAAUUCAAAACUCUGAUCUGAGUUUUCUUUUAAUGAUUUACAAUGUUUUGAUGCUUCCACUGAAUUCGUCACUUGGUUUUUUUGUUAAGAUGAGCUCUGAUUUGUUCCAAUUUUAUCCAUAAGAAAUUGGAUGUCUCCCUCCGUUUCUUUUUAAGUGUCACUUUUGGAGAAAAUUUUUGUUCCUAUUUAACUGUCACUUUCAAAGUUCAAUGCAACAUUAAAUGUUGUUUUACCAAUAUUAUGCUUAGUCAAUUUAUUGCGGAGAGAGAAAUAUAUGAAAUGAAAUAUUAAAUGAAUAAGGUCCGUAGAGAAAAUUAAUAGUGUUUUUAAGGAAAAAAUAAUAGUUAUAUAUACAGUUUUUGAAAAUUCAAGGGAUCACCAGCAACAAAUAUGUUUUUUAAAUCUUUUCAAGGGAUCACCAUGACCAAAUAUGUUUUUUUAAAUCUUAUACACACAUGUUAAAUUAAAUAGGCUUUGUUUUCAUACCUGUAUCUUUUUUUUUUUCUUUCUUUUCAAAACCGAUCCAGUAAGUUGUAAACGUUUUGUUUUUCAUCCCUUCUAUUAGCUUCUGUUACAAAAAAUGUACACAUGGCUAAAGGAGGUUGAUGUGGCAGUGGCUGAUGUGAAAGACAACGCUGACGUGGCAAACUAUAUAAUGAGUCACACAAGGAGAGGGAUCAAAACCAAAAAACGAGAAGUCGAAAAUUCAAAUUUAAAAAUAACAAUUCUACAAUCUUCUUCUUCCCUCCUCAUCUUCUCCAUCUUCAUCCUCAUUUUCAUAAUCUUGGUCAGAAAAAUUAAAACCCAAACUUCAAAAUCAAAUUACAAAAUAAAAAAAAAAUCUAAAACAAUUUUUAUAUGAACUUUAUACCACUUCCAUUUCUUCUUCUUCUUUAUCUUCUUAUGAACUUCAUACCAUAGUCAUGAACAUCAAGAAACAAAUUCAGAAAAAUAAAAUAACAUAACCCAAAAAAAAUUCAACACAUCACCACCAUACCCAACAAAAAAAAUGCCACAACCAACACCACCACAAAUUAGGGAAAAAAAAUUGCAUUAUCAUCACCACAAUCAUCAUCAACAUUAUCACUCGCCAUAGCAUCGUCAACACACACCAUUUCAUUUUAUAAAAUAUCGAAAUUGUAUCAAUGACAAGCUUAGAGAAUUUUAUCCAUAAGCCAAAGAAUGAUGGUGAAUUAAAAGGGUGAGGGGGCGGAAAUAAGCACCUGAAAAAAUGUAGUGAAUCGUAUCAAAAAGAUCCAUCAACAACAAACCAUAAUUAACCAAAGACUAGAAAUUAGUUACUCCUCGAUAACCCAAAAACUCCAGCAAUUACAGAAAAAACAAAUUAAUUAACCCACAAACACAAGAAACUAAUUAAUUAACCUAGAAACCAUAACGAUAAACCCCACAAAAGAUUCAAUUCGCGUCGGUGGUGUAAUGAUGUUUUGGUGUUACUUGUCUUAGAAAACAAGAUUUCGAAUGAGAAUGAUGAAGGAUGAAUUAGAUGUUAGUUCUUUCUAAAAUUUUGGAAAGCUUCUUUCCAAAAUUUAGGGAAAUCUUCUAAGCGAGAUGAAUCAAAUUAGUGAAAUUUAAUUUUAUUAAUUUAUUUUUACUUUUAGAAUUUUUUUUGUUUUGUAAUUUGAUUUUUAAUUUUUUUUUUAAUGAUUUUGAGUUUAAUUUUUUUUGGGCAAGACUAUGAAAAUGAGGAUGAAGAUGGUGAAGAUGAGGAGGGAAGAAGAAGAUGGAGAAUUGUUAUUUUUAAAUUUGAAUUUUUCGACUUCUUGUUUUUUGGUUUUGAUCACAAUACGAAUUUCGUUUUUUUGGUUUUGGUCCAUCUUCUUGUUGUGUGACUCAUCAUUCAAUUUGUCACGUCAGCGUUGUCUGCAACUGCCACAUCAUCCUCCGUUAGCCAUGUGUACGUUUUGUAACAAAAGCUAACGGGAAAGACAAAAUGCAAAACAUUUACAACUUAUAGAGUCAUUCUAAAAAAAGAUACACGGACAAAAAUAAAAAAUACACAAAAUUACAAAGACGAUUUAUAUAUUUAAGCCAACUAAAUGAAAGGCCCCAAUCAUUGAUUAGAUAUAGCCCUCCUACCUGGCAAUAUACAAGGAAAAUGCCAAACACUCACUCAGGAGGGACAAAUGUCAUGUUUUUAUAAGUUUGACUUUAAAUCCACCAAACCAAUAUGCUGAAGAAAUAUAUCUCAUUAAUUUGACAUAUCACUUUUAAAAAAAAGUUGAAUCCUGAAAAAAGCAUCUGUCUGAUUAAUAUGUAAGUGAGGUUUAAUCUUAAUAUUUUAAUCAAAUCAAACUUUUUUUUUUUUUUUGAAAAAUAUUGAUAGGUCCGACUUUUUCCACCUCUUAUGUAGAAAUGGAUUAUCUUAAAUAGAGAUUUUCACAAGAGGGUCAAUAGUAAAAAUACUCGACAUUAAACCUUUUCUCCUCAUUUUAUUCAUAUUUUUCAGCUUUUAUCAAUCUCACCUUUUAAAUAUAUCUAAUAUGACUGACUUUGACUUUUUUGGCUCCACUACGAGAUUAAUUUUUAAAUUAAUAAUGAACAUAUUUGUUUUUGGAAACGACUUCAUAAAUCUAACUCAUAUUCUUUUUGUGGAGAAGAGUCUUCGAACACCAUGUUGGUAUAUGGGAUUCCAUGAUCUUAAAUUAACUAUAACAUUCAAGUCACAUUAGAGAUGUAUAAAUUAAGGACCUACCACCGAUCUCAUCAAGUCAUGGUAUCGUUAGGAAAUAUUCCAAAAAUUCCACCAUAUCUAGCUACUUUUAUUUUUAUUUUUUAUAUAUUAAUAAUAUCUAGCUACUUUUGUACUUAAAAAAAAAUAAAAAAUUCUAGCUACCUUCGUAAACAAGUAAUUUGCUAUUAUCUAAUAAGAAGGCAAUAUCUAUCCAGCAAUUAAAUCUUAACAUGUUUCCCUUCUCUAGAGGAAAGUUCCUGCAUCUACAACCAAAUUGUUAGGCACAUGUUUUACUAUUUAUAUGUCUAGUUUCUAAAUCACAGCGAACUUCUUAAAAAUAUAUUGAAUUUGAACCACAGAAACAUGAUGUUAUAUGUCUUGUCGUCUUUAACUAAUUUGAUUCUUUUGGUUCCAAAAUUUAUCUCUAUAUAACAUCCCACAAUUCUUCAUAAUGUUUUCACACUUCCCACGAACUAGUCAUUUUCUUCAAAGCUUGUUAUCAACUUCUCUUGAAGGAUAAUGGCUAUUCGUUUGCCUUUAAUAAUGCAAGCUAAGAAGCAUAUCCUCUCCCGCACGCUUACAAUCCGAAAAAAAGUGUUAUCAGUUAAUAAUAUACCAAAAGGGUAUCUGGCGGUAUAUGUUGGAGAAGAGAAAAAGAAGAAAUAUGUUGUUCCAAUAUCAUACUUGCAUCAACCUGCUUUUCAACAAUUGCUAGGUAAAGCUGAAGAAGAGUUUGGAUUUAAUCAUCCAAUGGGUGGUCUCACCAUUCCUUGCAGAGAAGAUAUUUUUGUUACAGUCACUUCUCAAUUGGAAGUUUAAUCUCAACAACAAAUAAGUAAUAUCAAAUGCAAAUGGACUACACAAUUUUCUAUCAAGAUGUGAUCUUUGCUGCCAUUUCAACAAAUGGACUAUGCAGGGUUAAAGAUGACUAGAACUUUAGUAGCCAUUCUGCUUUGAAGCAUGUAGAAUAACAUAGGGUAUGCAUUACAUGAAAAUAAUUAUAUAACAUAACAUAAGGCAUGUAGAAUAACAUAGAAUAUUGUCUUGGAGAUGGAGUCUUACUAGGUUGAAGUUGUGUCCAUGUUUAUAUUUUGAAUGGCGUUGGAAUCCCAUUGGCGUCGUUAGGGGCUUUGGGCUGCUGUUUGUUAUCGAUAUUAGGGCUCCCAUUGUUGCUGCUCUUUUGUUUAAUUUUGUUCAGGGUGCUCUCUGAAUUUUUAGCAGCCGUGGGGGUCCGUCCCCAGCUCUUUUUCCAGCAGUAGCUGCUGUUUUUGUGUUCAUGUGUGUUGUGAUCAGUUGUAGCCGACUUGGCGUUUGUACCCGAGUUAUAGUGUUUUGGUGCUCUACAGUACGUCUUGUGCGUGUAGUUGCAAGUUUUAAUAAAAUUUAACCAUUUAAAUAAAUAAAUAAAUAAUUUCAUGCUUGAGGAGCUUAUCAUAUCCGGUCUCACAAAAUCACAUGAUGACUAAAAUUACUCGAGAAUUAAAUCCACAAGUAUUGAUUGAUGUUCAAUAUAUAUAUAUAUAUAUAUGUUGUAGAACAAGGGACUUAACUACUCUUGCAACUUGUAGUUUCUAUUACUUUCAAUUUGUUGAAGAAAGAUCUUCUAGGUAUCAUUCAUAAUGUAGUAUGACUAGUCCAUAUAUAGACCAAAUAGGUAUGUACAUAAAAGUGAAGAUGUGGGUAUUGAACAUGGUAUGUCUUGAACAUAACAAUCAAGGACAUUGAUUAAACAAUAAUUAAGUUCUUUUCUCUAAAAUAAAUCUCUUCCACUUUGAAGAAAAACCUGUGUGGGUGAUUCAUAGGCCCUUGUCUCACACUAGACCCCAUAAAAUAGAAUCAAGUUAACAAUAGUUUUCAACUAUGCAAUUAUAGUCUUUAAUUUCAGGAACUUAAUCUGCUGGCAGUAUAAUCUCAAAACUUUGAAAGAGACUCUAAGUAAUAUCAUGUGAAUAUGUGAUCCCUUGGCUCUUAAUUACUAGAUCCUAUAAUAGAGUCCCUUCAAAAUUUAUUAAUUGUGUAUUUGGUUUGCAAAGGCCCUUAAAAUCUAAGAAUAUGGAAUCAUAGACAAACCAUAACCAGUGGUACGAAAGAAAGCUUUUGCUAGUAGAAUUAGGCUUGUGCCGUUCAUUUUCAAAAUUUCGUAAGUGCUUAGGUGAAGAGAGGAAUGAACAUUUUAACUAAUAAACCAAAAACACAGAGUAGAUGUUUGAGUAGCCGAAUUAAUUUUCAUUAAACAAAAAAUACAUACUGCAUAAACUUGUCAAUCUAAUGGUAAUUUCUUUUCCCAUCAUUGCAAUUUGAUUAGAUGCCUAGUAUACAAAAAUGUCUCUACUCUAGUCUACUAAACUACGUCAGUCUCUUUCCACGUGAAAUUUAUAGCCCAUUCAAGCGAGAAGUUAUGCGUUGGAAGACAUUUUCAGUGCAAGGAAUGGUGAGGCCACCUGUGGGAUGAUCAUAUCCAAACUCUUCCUCAGCUUGACUCAACAAAUAUUGAAACAAUGGUUGGUUUAAGUAUGAGAUAGGGAUCACAAACCGCUUUUGUUUAUCUCCAACAUACACUGCAACAUAGCCCUUUGGAACUUCUACAGAUUUUGAUGAUGCUUGUCUAGCAGUUACUGAUGCCCUUAGAGUAGCAUGUAAACGGAAACCCAUUUUUAGUUCUUGUUUGAGAGAAGAAGAAUAAAGAAAAAAUCUCAAAUGUAACUAAAUACUUGAGGAUGCCAAUGAAUUGUGUUGUUUGUGAAGGCAAGAGGAAGCGUAUUUAUAAUUAUUGAGGUUCUCUUGAAACUGAAACCCAAUUCCAAGCAAAAUAAUUUUUUGAAAGGGUAAAAUAAUAGAGAACAUAGGAUGAGAUAUAAUGUGGUGUUGUCUUAGAUUGUACCCUACCCUAUCAAACUAUCUCGAAUACAAAUGCAACCUCAUAUUUUUCAUGCAUUAAUUGGUAGCUACUCCAUAAUUUGUAAACAGGCUUAGGACAUGUUUUCUUCAUUAUGAUAAUGUUGAUGUCUAGCUGGUAAGUGAGAUAUAAGGCAGUGGAUAACAAUAGAUCAACAUAAACCAUUCUACAUGUUUGUUUUAUCUCAACUAGAUUAGAUUAGAUUGAUAUGCUGGCCUCUGCUCUCAACAAGGUGGGACUUGCAACAUCUGAUGGUGAUCCUUAAGAAAGUCCUGAGAAGACAACACCAUGUGAUUAUUCAUAUGCUUUUGUCUAACCACGACUCAAAUCUUAUGGCCCUCCUUCACUGAUCACAAUAGUUGCCGACUGUUUGUUACAUAUCCUUUCAUCUAUAUAUAUUCAUGCCUUCAAGCAGUUAGGACAAACACAAAAUCAUUCACAAUCCAAAACAUUUGAAAUUCAGAAACUCGAGUUUUCUAUAUUCAAAUAAGUUUUUCUUUUUUUCAAGAUCAAUCUUCUUCUUUUUUCAACACAUACGAAAAUGGGUUUUCGUUUACCAGGUAUCAUCAGAAGGACAUCGUCUUCAAAAGGCGUGGACAUGCCAAAGGGAUAUCUAGCAGUAUAUGUUGGAGAGGAAAUGAAACGUUUUGUGAUCCCUAUAUCAUACUUGAACCAACCAUCGUUCCAAGACUUGUUGAACCAAGCCGAGGAACAAUUCGAAUAUGAUCAUCCAAUGGGUGGUCUCACUAUUCCUUGCGGAGAAGACAUGUUCUUAGAUAUCACUUCUCGUUUGAGUAGGUGUUAACCUCUUUUGUAGAAGGAGCUGACAUAGAUUAUAUAACUUGAGGAAAUUGUACAUAAGACACUUUUUUUUUUAUUCUUUUCCAUUUUUGUAUUCCUUUGUAAGUCAAAGGUACAUGAAAAAGCAUUUGAGGGAGAUUGUAUGGAAAAAGAUUAUAGCUUGUUUUGGGCUUUGGCCAAUGUUCAAUGAAUAUAUGUUAUAAACUUAUUUGCCAAAAUUAUAAUACGAAGUGAAAGAUUUUAUUGCGUAUGCUCUUCAAUGUUAUUUUCCUUUGCAGUGCUUCACUUGAAAUUUUCCUUUGCAGGGCUUCACUUCUAAUAAACAGAGUAAUAUAUGUUACCGUAAUUUAGAGUCAAGGUGGAGAUUGUUGUGAAAGUGCCUCAAAAUUGAAGAAAUUGGAAUUCUGGAAGCUGAAUUUUCAGGGCAGGGUGGCCGAUUUUGACCUGUUUUAUUUGAGCUUCAGGUUCGGCAAAAAUCGGUGGCCGAUUUUGACAGCAGAAAAUAAAACAGAAAAUGUAUUUUCAGGCCACUAGGGUUUGUAUAGAGUUUGUCUCUUGGCAACAAACACUAGGGUUUGAGGGUUGAUUCAUCCUGAGAAACACUAUUAGGAUUGAGUCUAUUGGUUACGAUAAGAGAUUGAGGCUUUGGGUAUAAUUAGGCGGGAGACUUAUUUUUGUAACCUAAUAUCUCUUUUGUAAGGUUACUCAUCAUUAUAUUGAAACGAAGGGCUGCUCUUUCCCCAGACUAGGUCAAUUUGGACCAAACUGGGUCAACAAAUUCUUUUGUGUUCUCUCUUCCUUUCUCUCUCUCUCUCGUUGUUUUCUACUUUUGACUUGUGUUUAUAAUUGUUCCAUAAACUUUGUUUUGGUUGCUUGGUUAUUCAUUGCUCCACACAUCAAGUUUGUUAUUGGUGUGAUUUUUCAUCGAAUUCAGAACAGGGAUGAUUGACAACCUUGUUUGGAUGAUAUACCAUUAACACUUAAUUAAGAUAUCACGAGUUUUUUCAUGUCAAAAUAGAGGUUUUCAGCUUGAACUAUGUGAAUGCAACAACACUACAAAAAUUUAGAGAGAACUUUAAUUUGUUGGUAAUGACUAAUGAGUUCUAUUUGACUCGAGAGUUGAGAUACUCGAUUUAUAGAAAAAAAUGGAGAUGGUAAAGUAUGUGUCUAGUCAUAAGCUUAUAAAUUGAAAUUAGUAAUUUUUACUGAAAUUUUUUAACUAGUCGUUUCAAAACUAAAGAAAAACACUUUUGUUAUUAAAGAAUUUGACUAAAAAAAUGUAAAGUUAACAUUUUUAACUCAAUUUGACAGUUAUUAAUAUGUUUUACUAAACCAUGACUUUUGUUAUCUAAAUUCUUAUCCAAUAACGUUCUUCUCUGCAUAUUUAUUUUUUUCAAUAUAAUGAUCAUUAGCCAUGAUAGUUAAUUUUAACUUUCGUUUAAUCAAUUUUAUAUUUGAAAUAACUGAAUCUUCCAUUCUACCGCUGGAUAUUAUAAACUAAACAUUUAAAAAACAAUUUUCAUAUUGAUAUUUAAGGGAAAGAUAUAGAGAAAUACGGUAAUAGUGUUAAUAAAUUUCUCAUUCAGAUGAAGUUUAUACAUCCAAGUAUGAUCACUACAAAAGAGAAACUAAACUAAUGCAAAAAUUGGUCAUGCAUCUAUGUUAGUCUUGUCAUAUCCUCAGAGGGUUAACAGGUAUUCAAUUCAAGCAAGAAGUGAAUUCUAAGAAAAGGUCUUCUCUGCAAGGAAUAGUGAUGCCACCCAUUGGAUGGUCAUAUCCGAACUGUUCUUCAGAUUGGCUCAGCAAUUCUUGGAAUGAACUUUGGUUUAAGUAUGAUAUAGGGAUCACAAAUCGCUUCAUUUUCUCUCCUACGUACACUGCUAGAUAUCCUUUUGGUACGUCCACAGAUUUUGAAGAUGAUGACCUUUUGAUGAUACUAGGUAAACGAAAACCCAUUGUUGUACGUGUUAAAAAGAAUGGAUUGGUCUAAAAAAGAAAGAGUUGUAUAUAGAAGAGUCAAGUUUCUGAAUUUCAAAUGAGUUGGAAUGUGAAUGAUUUUUGUUGGUGCUAAAGGCUUGCAACCAUGGAUAUAUAUAGAUGAAAGGAUACUUAACAAACCGUCGGCAACUAUAAUGAUCAGUGAAGGAGGACCAUAGGAUUAGAGUCAUGUUUAGACAAGAUCAAAUGAAACAUCACAUGGUGUUUUCUUUAAGAGUUUUGAGGACUUUCUCAAAGAUCAACAUCAAAUGUUGUGGUAGAUAGAUAAUGCAAGUCCCACCUUGUUGAGCAGAGGCCAGCAUAGAGUUAAUGAACUUGAAUUGGUACUACUUACUGCAAAGAACAUGUCUGAAACAUGCUUACACAAUUAUGAAGUACUUCUUAAUGCAUGAACAAAUAAGUGGUUGCAGUUGAAAGGGUGGGGUACAAUCUUAAAACAACACCACAUGCUAUAUCAUCUUAUCCUUUAACUCUUUCAAACAAUAAUUUAGCUUGUAAUUGGGUUUCCAAAGAACCUCAAUAACUAUAAAUAUACUAACAAUUGCCUUUAGUUUAAGCACCACACAAUUCAUUGGCAUCCUAAAAUAUUAGUUACAUCCUUUGUUUAGAUCAAUCUCUCCGGGUUUUUCCCAACACAUACAAGAAUGGGUUUUCGUUUACCUGGUAUCCUAAGAAGGACAUCAUCUUCAAAAGGUGUCGAGGUUCCAAAGGGAUGUCUAGCAGUAUAUGUUGGAGAGGAAAUGAAACGGUUUGUGAUCCCAAUAUCAUACUUAAACCAACCAUUGUUUCAAGACUUGUUGAACCAAGCCGAGGAACAAUUUGAAUACGAUCAUCCAACGGGUGGUCUCACUAUUCCUUGUAGAGAAGACAUGUUCUUAGAUAUCACUUCUUGUUUGAGUAGGUGCUAAUCCCUUUGGUAGAAGGAGCUGACAUAGAUUAUGUAACUUAAUUUGUACAAAAGACACUUUUUUUUCUUUUCCAUUACAGUCUUCCUCCUGUGUAAGUUAAAAAGCAUUUGAGGCAGAUAGUUAAGGAGAAAGAUUAUAACUUGUUUGAGGCUUUAGGACAAUGCUCAAUUAAUAUAUGUUAUAAACUUAUUUGCCAAAAUUAUAAUACAAAGUCACCAAUUGUUUUUGCAUAUGCUCUUCAAAGUUAUUAUCCUAUGCAGUGCCUUUUUGUACUUUAUAUUGAAAAGUCAUACUAUAGUGAAAAGUCAGUGUAUAUUACAGUGGAGUAAAUAAAAAAAAUUGAAGAUCUAUAUAUAUAUAUGCGG
rnacentral:lncRNA from 1 species